rnacentral:rRNA from 1 species
UCUAGAACCGAUAACCCCCGUUCAACCUCACCACCUCUUGUUUUACCCGCCUAUAUACCACCGUCGUCAGCUUACCCUGUGAAGGCCCUAUAGUAAGCAAAAUGGGCAAAACCCAA